GAUGAACGCUGGCGGUGUGCCUAACACAUGCAAGUCGAGCGAACAGACGAGGAGCUUACUCCUCUGACGUUAGCGGCGGACGGGAGAGUAACACGUGGAUAACCUACCUAUAAGACUGGGAUAACUUCGGGAAACCGGAGCUAAUACCGGAUAACAUGUUGAACCUCAUGGUUCAACAGUGAAAGACGGUCUUGCUGUCACUUAUAGAUGGAUCCGCGUCGCAUUAGCUAGUUGGUAAGGUAACGGCUUACCAAGGCAACGAUGCGUAGCCGACCUGAAAGGGUGAUUGGCCACAUGGGAACUGAGACGCGGCCCAGACUCUUAGGGGAGGCAGCGGUACGGACUCUUGCGCGAUGGGCGAAAGCCUGACGGAGCGACGCCGGCUGAGUGCAGAAGCUCUUCGGACGGGAAAACGCUGUUAGUAGGGAAAAACAAAUGUGUAAGUAACGAUGCACGUCUUGACGGUACCUGAAGAAGAAGCCACGGCUAACUACGUG
rnacentral:rRNA from 1 species